GACGAACGCUGGCGGCGUGCUUAACACAUGCAAGUCGAACGGAAAGGCCCUGCUUUUGUGGGGUGCUCGAGUGGCGAACGGGUGAGUAACACGUGAGUAACCUGCCCUUGACUUUGGGAUAACUUCAGGAAACUGGGGCUAAUACCGGAUAGGAGCUCCUGCUGCAUGGUGGGGGUUGGAAAGUUUCGGCGGUUGGGGAUGGACUCGCGGCUUAUCAGCUUGUUGGUGGGGUAGUGGCUUACCAAGGCUUUGACGGGUAGCCGGCCUGAGAGGGUGACCGGCAAAAUGGGAACUGGGAUACGGCCCAGACUCCUAGGGGGGGCAGCAGUGGGGAAAUUUCCACAAGGGGCGAAAGCCUGAUGAGCCAACGCCGCGUGCGGGAGGACGGCCUUCGGGUGGUAAACCGCUUUCGCCUGGGACGAAGGGGGAGGGACGGUAAUGGGAAAAGAAGCACCGGCAAACUACGU
rnacentral:rRNA from 1 species